GUUUUUAUAGUUUAUGUUAAAACGCUGGUCUUGUAAAUCAAAGAUGAAUUUUUUCUAAAAACU
rnacentral:tRNA from 1 species